rnacentral:rRNA from 1 species
GACGAACGCUGGCGGCGUGCUUAACACAUGCAAGUCGAACGGAAAGGCCCUGCGUUUGUGGGGUGCUCGAGUGGCGAACGGGUGAGUAACACGUGAGUAACCUGCCCUUGACUUUGGGAUAACUUCAGGAAACUGGGGCUCAUACCGCAUAGGAGCUCCUGCUGCAUGGUGGGGGUUGGAAAGUUUCGGCGGUUGGGGAUGGACUCGCGGCUUAUCAGCUUGUUGGUGUGGUAGUGGCUUACCAAGGGUUUGACGGGUAGGCGGCCUGAGAGGGUGACCGGGGACAAGGGGACUGAGGGAGGGACCAGACGGCUACGGGAGGCAGCAGGGGAGAGCAUGGCAGAGCAGGCGGGAGCGUGAGACGACGGCGCCGGGUGCGGGAAGAUGGCCUACGGGUUGUAAACAGAUGUCGCAGGAGACGAAGAGGGAGUGACGGUAACGGGUAAGGAAGCACCGGCUAACUACGUG